GUCCCUACGGGGCGCAGCAGUGGGGAAUAUUGAGCAAUGGGCGCAAGCCUGACCCAGCAACGCCGCGUGAAGGAAGAAGGCUUUCGGGUUGUAAACUUCUUUUCUUGGGGACGAAGAAAGUGACGGUACCCAAGGAAUAAGCCACGGCUAACUACGUGCCAGCAGCCGCGGUAAUACGUAGGUGGCAAGCGUUAUCCGGAUUUAUUGGGUGUAAAGGACGUGUAGGCGGGAAUGCAAGUCAGAUGUGAAAACUAUGGGCU
rnacentral:rRNA from 1 species